rnacentral:rRNA from 1 species
GACGUAGGGGGCGAGCGUUGUCCGGAUUCAUUGGGCGUAAAGCGCACGCAGGCGGCUUAGUAAGUCGGGUGUGAAAACUCCAGGCUCAACCUGGAGACGCCACUCGAUACUGCUAUAGCUAGAGUCCGGUAGGGGCCCGUGGAAUGUCUGGUGUAGCGGUGAAAUGCGCAGAUAUCAGACGGAACACCAGUGGCGAAGGCGGCGGGCUGGGCCGGAACUGACGCUCAUGUGCGAAAGCGUGGGUAGCAAACAGG